rnacentral:rRNA from 1 species
UUGGAGGGCAAGUCUGGUGCCAGCAGCCGCGGUAAUUCCAGCUCCAAUAGCGUAUAUUAAAGUUGUUGCAGUUAAAAAGCUCGUAGUUGAAUUUCGGGAUCAGAUUGUCGGUCGUGCCUCGGUACGCACUGGCAUUAUUGGUUCCUACCUUCUGAAGAACCGCGAUGUCAUUAAUUUGGUGUCGUUGGGAAUCAGGACUGUUACUUUGAAAAAAUUAGAGUGUUUAAAGCAGGC